rnacentral:tRNA from 1 species
GUUAAUGUAGCUUAUAUUAAAGCAUAGCACUGAAAAUGCUAAGAUAGAUUUUAAAAGAUCUCAUAAACA